UCGAUAGGGUUGGUUGGGGGAACUGCAUGUUGAGGGGGGAGUUCUAGGGCGUGUCCUGUUGUACUUCUGAGGAGAGUUUGGGAGUUUGAGUGCUGCAUUGAGCCCGGCGGGACGGGAUCAAGCAGCAUGAGCCGAAUUCAGGGAUGUUUGCCUAAGCAAUUUUAGAUCGCCCCCGUCUAAGUCCCGCGGGGUUCGUGCUGUUUUUGUACAUGUGAGGGAGUUGAUCUAGAGUUCGUAACAUGUCCUGCUGUUUUUGAUCCAAUUUGCUUUUGUUGCGGAAGGGGGCUCAGGUUUUUGGGGCCAAUCAUGUGCCUAUUUUGAGUGUUAGAGCACAGAUAGGCGGCAGCAAGCAAAUAUAGGAACAUGCCUUACCAAAUAUAGUUGCUUUUUUACAAUGCAACUUUGUGUUUUUAGAAGAUACAAGUUCCCAAAGAGAUGCAGCGAGGGAUGCAACGGUCCAGAGCUAUGCUGGGUGGGUUUCUGCUAUGGGGAGUGUGCUAAUCAUGUGGGGUGUUCUUCUCGGUGACAACACAGUGUUUGGUCUUGACAUUUUGUCCUUUCUUUGUGUUGCCUGUGUUGUUAGAUGAAACGAGCAGAGAAAACCAAAAAGGACCUAACCGACAUGCGUUUCUGGCCUGUUCAUUUUUCUUUGCCUAGCUGCAGCAUGCCCACUUAAUUUCCUGGCUAGAUUUUUUUUCAAUUCCGGUGAAUUUCUUGUCAUCAUUUUUCUUUGCCUAGCUGCAGCAUGGUCAUUUAAUUUCCA